GGGAGCGUGUGUGCCGCUGGUGCGGGCCCUGGUCUUCAAAACCAGAGGGUGUCUUGAAGAAAGUCAUCGGUGGGUUCGAUUCCCAUACGCUCCCGCCA
rnacentral:tRNA from 1 species